UUUUGGAUUUCAUUAAUGAUCAAUUUGUACAUGCUUGUCUGCUACAAGACGGACCUUAUUCAAAGAUUCUUUAAAAGCUUGCCAAGCAACCAUAUAAUGAUCUUGAGAUAUCAUCCCUUCCUCAACAACUUGCAUUGCUCGUUUGUACAGAUGAUCAAACCACUGAACUGGGUUAGCAAUAUCGACAUUGUUGGACCCAAGAUCUGGUACAUAUAGCCGCUUAAAAUCCUUCCUCCAUCUUGCCAAAAUAUAUUGGUAAGGGAUUUCCUCCACCCCAUUGUAGUGCAGAAUGCACAACGCAUGUCGGCACAGGUAACCUUUGAAGUUAAAACAACCACAAUUGCACCGAACUUCUGCUCCUGAUUUAUCAUACAAUACCUCCAAAUUUCUAACAUUGCUCAGAUUCUCCUCAGCCUCACGUUCUUUGAUCAUAUAUGUAACUACUGACCCAUUGGCAUGAAUCUGUGUGAUGCUAAAACACGAGGACAUCAUCGCCACCUCUUCUUGGAAUUUCCUGAAUAUUUCGUUCGUAUACAAUUUGGAGAGUUGUAGCUCAUAAUAGCUGCUUGUUCUCAACAUGGAGCUUGAAUCUCUCGACUCGAAAUCAUCAAGAGCUUCCUUCUGAUGUUUCUUUUCUAAAACUAAUUCAUACAUGUCAAAAAACUCUCUUAAAGAUGUUUGACGGUGCACCCAACCAUCAAAAAAUGGGAUCAUGGACUCACCUCUUUGGAAAGUGGACAUUCCAGCAAAAAAGGUGUCUUUGGAGUAAGCUGGAGCCCACCGUUCCCGAUCUUCAUACAAACUUCGAAGCCACUCAUGAUUUGCAAUUCCAAAGCGUUGAUUCAUUGCUUCCCAAGCCAUUUCAAAUUCAUCCACCUUUAAAGUGUCGUAGAUAGUUGUAUUGAACACCAUCUGAAAUGCUUCAUAGUCCUGCAGUGCUCCUAAAUUCUCAAGAACCCUUUGCACAACAUGUGACAAACAAAGACGAUGGUGAGCCCUAGGAAACACCUCUGCAAUUGCACUUUGCAUGACCUUGCACUGUUUGGUGAUGAUGGUUUGUGGAGGACGACCAAACAUGCAUGUGAGCCAUGCCCUGAAUAGCCAGAUAUAUGUUUCAAAUGUCUCAUCUGCAAGCAAACCACAACCAAGCAGAAUAGACUGCCCAUGGUGAUUUACUCCAACAAAUGCAAAGAGUGGAAUUUCAUAAUUAUUUGACAGACAUGUUGUGUCAAAUAUAAUGACAUCCCCAAAGUAAGCAUAUGCAGCCCUUGACCUCGAAUCAAUCCAAAAUACAUUUUUCAAAAACCCCUCAUCAGUGAGAUCCAUCAAGUAGAAAAAAUUUGGAUUUGUCAGCUGAACCCGACAAAAAUAAUUAUAUAUGACCUGUGCAUCUCCUUUUUUAAGCUUCAAACGCUUCAACCUCUCUAUAGGGUGGCUACUAUCCCCUUCAUUAGAGUUUGAGCUUCCAUAACCAAGUGGAUCUACAGCAGCUGUCCGAUACAAUUUGAUUGUCCGUACUUCCACAUCAAGAGUUGGCUCUACCUUCCUCUUAGACCCAGCAUCCAUCUUCUUGUGUGACUUGGAAUUUUGUGCUCUCUCAGGAUCAAAUGAGUGGUUGUGUUCAAGCUUGACUUCAUCCACCCUCCACCUAUUAGAUUCCACUAACCUCAGCCUUAUCAUUGCUAGACAACCGGUUCUUGUUUCCUUUCUACGACUGUUUGCUUCUUUCAUUGUCUUAAAACCCUCACAGUUGCAGCAGAGAACUGCACCACGUUUCUCCUUGCUGUUACGUUUUGUCCAUGAAGAUUUUACCCUGAUGGCAAAUCCCAAUUCCUUAGCAUAGCAGUUAUAAUAAUUGUAAGCAUCAUCGUAUGAUUCAAAUUCCAUUCCUACAACAGGUGGGGGAUAGCUGUUUCCUUGAGAUUCACUAUUUUGACCAUCCACUAACAAUGUACUGUCUGUGUUGUUAUCAUGCCCAUGGUCUUCAAUAUCAAGCAUUUGGUCGCAAUUAUUCUCAACACCAUCAUCUUUGGUUUCAAGGUCAUGGCUUUCAAUCUCAAUGCCAUUGUCCUCAAUUUCAAGGCCACUUCCCUCAAUCUCAAGGCCAUUCCCCUCAAUUUCAAGGCCAUUGCCUUCAAUGUCUAGGUUAUUGCUAUCAAAUUCAAGAUCAUCACCUUCCUCCUCAAGCAGUUGCUCACUGUUUUGAGAAACUUCUUCCAUCUGAAAUGAGAAAAUGAAAAAUAUAAUGUUGACGGUACGCAAGAGCAAGCAACAACUUGCAAAGUCCUUUACAUUUUUUCAUUCCAUAAUAUCAUAAGUCUAGAGCUUAUUUUAAUCCAUUUACAUUUUUCUUUUUCCAUUUUUCAUCAAACAUCAAAAAUAUGAUCUUUCUUAAACAGCAUGCUCAUCGAUCCACGGGAAUGCAAUCCUUCAAACUGCUUCUUCUCCAAAACUAAUUUCUCCAUGGGGCAUAACUGCAUAAGCAUUCAGAACCCAAUGCAUAUGACAAUGAUACUAUCCUUACCGAUAUUAGUUCCAUUGCAGCAAAUCCCAUCAUCUCUCGCUCUAGUGUGUUCAUUUCUAGGAAAGUGAAGAAUCACGGGUCCGGCUAUUAUAAGCUUAAAGUUAUAUAACGAGUCGAGUAACCCCUUAGAUCAAAUAUUUACACACAAAUUCAUGCACUUACUAUUUCAAUUAUAUGCAUACCUUAGUUGAUUCUGUACGAAUCCCAAUACAAAUAUUUUAUCUAAGCAAAUAUUUGAUUUACAGGGUUAUUAGACUUAUCCUCAUAUCAAGUCUAGCUUAUAUUACAUGCACCCCAAUAAUCAUUUAUACUUGGCACGUUUAAAAAUUGAACUACUACACUGCAGCAGCUUUGCAUCAAAAUUUAUCCACUUUAUGAUCUCACUUUCUCUAAAAAUUGCGCAAGUUUCAAAAAAAUUAAGAUUCUUUCCUCUACUCAUCAUUCGAGUCUCACAGGAAAAUAACCCAAAACCUCUCCCUUUAUACAAUGAUCCCAUAUCAAAUAGAAACACAUGCCUCGAACUCACUUAAUUGGCUACCAUAAUCCCUAAAUAAUAACAGCUUAGUCAAACGCAGAAUAUUUUGCAUCUCUCAAGCAACCAUUCAAAUGCUAAAAUUACAUUCGGCUUAUAGCUCUUACCAAAAAGGUGCUAACUUUUCUUACUAUUUGAAACUAAAUAAAAAAUAAAACUCAACCAUUAAAGAAAAAGAAAGAAUACAAAAACCCCAAAUCAAACACAUAAGAAGACCGACCUCAAUCAUCGCCAUCCUCCGACACUUUCCUCCAGUUUUAGAGCUUGAGAUAACCGCUUUAGGUUGCCAGAACUGGCGCCAUAAAAUUCAACAGCGGCUUCCCUGAAAUCUGCCGAACGGUUACGGUAUCAGGCAAAUCACAUAAUUAUUGGGGAAAAAAAAUGGGGUAAUUUGAGGAGUUUAUACUUGGUAUUGGAAGCUGGUAGUUUGGUUAUUUGGUUAGAUCUAAGCGAAAGACGAUGCUUUGUUGGGCCUGUCGUCAGAGACUAGCGGGCGUGGUGUGCUUCCGCAGCUGUUUCGCUGUGAG
rnacentral:misc_RNA from 1 species